UGGAAAAAGAAAGGCCACUGCCGCCCGCCAAGUCUUGGUCGUAGGUUUGUUACGCCAACGCCUCCUAUGGUUACGCCAGUUCUGCGUCAUUCUAAGCCGUUCUGUACACUUAUACUUGAUAUUAAAUGGAGUCAUUUAGCUGUACUGAUGCUGUUUGCCGUGUGUUUUGCAUCAGUGCUUCGUAACAUCGGCUGUAUUGCAUGUAUCACCAACGGCUUACUACCUUAAUGGCGGGAUCUACGUUCGCCGCCUUCGUUGUUCUCGGUGCAUCUUUGUACGUGGGACGUUGGGAUAACACUUUUUCCGGUAAGUGAAAUACUUUGCACUUCGUUUUUCGUCAACAAUGCGAAUAUUUUUGGCUGUUACCCGCUACAAUUCCUGAUGUAUGGGCCCUUCUGCCCUGCGGGUUUUCGUCAUCUUUCUUUGUGGUUAACGUAGCACGAAUCAACCGAAGGGAGUGCAUUCGAUGAGGACGCGCUGGCUGUAACCCUGAACCAGACUGAACUCGCCCUAUUUUGUGUCCUUUACUUCUUGCAUGGAUUACAGCGUUGCGUGUGCGGGCGUGUAUGUCAGUAACUGUGUAGUUUGUAGCGUUCCCACUAUAUAGCAAAACAAAAAAUAUAACUGCAAUGUUUACUUCGUCUAUACAAUUCCAACUGUGAUCGGCUGCUGAUGUAAAAAUUUCACUGGUAUCUUGUUCUAAAUAAGCAGCAAAACCUUUAGCCUAGUAGGUGCUUCAUCUGGGAUUGCGAUCACGACUGAUUGGCAUUUAUUAAUGAAUGACUGUGGGCCACCUCAUUUGUAAUUGCAAAUCUGUCUUUCAACUGACUUGAUGCUCUCUUAUUUUAUUCUUUUCACUCUAUAUGCGGCUGGGCAUCCUUCUUGCCCCUUGGCGCUAGCUGGAUAACGGGACCUCAUCAUGAUCAGUGUAUUGAUUGCCUAUGUCUACAAGAACCUUCACGCGUGGCCUAUGACAGCAAGCUUUUGUGGGCAGCCAGUGCUGUCCUACAAAGGCUGGCCUGCUGUGGCAGCAGCGGCAAUCAUCUUCAAGAUUCAUGCAUGAUCACCUUUGCUGCUAUUUGUUACUCUUGUUAAUUACACUUUCUGCAUCAUUUCUAAUUUAUUAGGUAAUAAACAUGACUAUGUGA